GGGCCCUUAGCUCGGAUUCAGUUGAAGCGCACUGAUAAGGUGAGGUCAGUGGUUCGAGUCCACUAGGGCCCACCA
rnacentral:tRNA from 1 species